rnacentral:rRNA from 1 species
GACGAACGCUGGCGGCGUGCUUAACACAUGCAAGUCGAACGAAGUGGCGAACGGGUGAGUAACGCGUAAUCAACCUGCUCUUAAGAGGGGGACAACAGUUGGAAACGACUGCUAAUACCGCAUACAGAAGGAGGGGCUUGCGACUGAUUAGCUAGUUGGAGGGGUAACGGCCCACCAAGGCGAUGAUCAGUAGCCGGGUGGAUAGGAUGAACGACCAAAUUGGGACUGAGACACGGCCCAGACUCCUACGGGAGGCAGCAGUGGGGAAUCUUCCGCAAGGGACGAAAGUCGGACGGAGCAACGCCGCGUGAGUGAUGACGGCCUUCGGGUUGAAAAGCUCUGUUAAUCGGGACGCGGUACCGGAAUAGAAAGCCACGGCUAACUACGUGCCAGCAGCCGCGGUAAUAC